UGGGUGUAUAACAAGGGUAUAAAACCAGCUCCUAUCUCUCAAUAAAUUUCUCAGUAUCCCUGCGGUUCUGAGUCCCUGCCUCCUUCGUUCACAUGCCAGAGGAGCAGCCAGGUAGCCGUGGGCCAGGCAGGAGACUGGGCUGUGUCUCAGGGAUAUUUCUCGUAAGGGGAGAGGACUGGGAAUCUCCAGAGUGGGAGAGGGAAGGCUGGGGGUGAUCAAGCAGGGUAACAAAGCCCUACUGACCCCCCCUGCCUGCCUUGUUCUUGCUUCCCAAGGGACCAGGCCUAGAGCAGACUCAUCUCAGCUCUUGCUCUCACCCAGCCCACCAUGUUUUCCUUCUUGGCGUUUAUUCCAGCUGUCAUUGCAUUCCUUGUGGGAGUUGCUGUAGGAGCUGCAAUUGUAGCAGCAGCAAAGAGUCAGAAUGUGUUCUUCACUGUGAAUCGCUGUGGUCUGAUUUUCCGUGUGGGCGGGGAAGAAAAUGCCUGCGCUCCAACCAGCAGCCCUUGGGAUGCUGGCCAGAAGAAGGAAUGGUGACCCCUGCCAGUGAACAGAAGCACAUUUCCUUCCUUCCAACCAGCCUGAUUCGUGUCUUUAGAUUGCAGGACCAGGAAAACACCCUCUGACUCCCUGUUGUCCCUUACAAAACACUUGCAUUGCCUUAAGGAGUAAAUGCUUUGAAAAAUUUAAUAAAAAUGCAUGUCUGGUG